CUCAGGAUGAACGCUAGCGGCAGGCUUAACACAUGCAAGUCGAGGGGCAGCGCGGAGUAGCAAUACUCUGGCGGCGACCGGCGGAAGGGUGCGUAACACGUGAGCGACUUGCCCGUCACAGGGAGAUAACCGCUGGAAACGGCGACUAAUAUCCCAUAUGAUGGCGAUCUGCAUGGAUUGUCAUUGAAAGAUUCAUCGGUGACGGAUAGGCUCGCGGGGCAUUAGCUAGACGGCGGGGCAACGGCCCACCGUGGCGACGAUGCCUAGGGGUUCUGAGAGGAAGACCCCCCACACUGGGACUGAGACACGGCCCAGACUCCUACGGGAGGCAGCAGUGAGGAAUAUUGGUCAAUGGGCGGAAGCCUGAACCAGCCAUGCCGCGUGCGGGAAGGAGGCCCUAUGGGCUGUGAACCGCUUUUGCCUGGGGGCAAUAAGGGCGUCGCGCACGUCCGAUGAGAGUACCAGGCGAAUAAGCAUCGGCUAACUCCGUGCCAGCAGCCGCGGUAAUACGGGGGAUGCGAGCGUUAUCCGGAUUUAUUGGGUUUAAAGGGUGCGUAGGCGGAAGUGCAAGUCAGCGGUGAAAUCCCCGCGCUCAACGCGGGAGUUGCCGUUGAUACUGUACAUCUGGAAUGCUCUUGCCGUGGGAGGAAUGAGUAGUGUAGCGGUGAAAUGCAUAGAUAUUACUCAGAACACCGAUUGCGAAGGCAUCUCACGAAGGGGCGAUUGACGCUGAGGCACGAAAGCGUGGGUAUCGAACAGGAUUAGAUACCCUGGUAGUCCACGCAGUAAACGAUGAUGGCUAACUGUCGGGUUUUAGGAUUCGGCGGCCAAGCGAAAGCGAUAAGCCAUCCACCUGGGGAGUACGACCGCAAGGUUGAAACUCAAAGGAAUUGACGGGGGCCCGCACAAGCAGUGGA
rnacentral:rRNA from 1 species